CCUACGGGUGGCAGCAGUCGAGAAUCUUUCACAAUGGGGGAAACCCUGAUGGUGCGACGCCGCGUGGGGGAAUGAAGGCCUUCGGAUUGUAAACCCCUGUCAUGUGGGAGCAAAUUAAAAAGCUAGUCCCACAAGAGGAAGAGACGGCUAACCCUGUGCCAGGAGCCGCGGUAAUACAGAGGUCUCAAGCGUUGUUCGGAAUCACUGGGCGUAAGGCGUGCGGAGGCUGUUUCGUAGAUCGUGUGUGAAAGGCGCGGGCUCAACCCGCGGACGGCACUUGACACUGCGAGACUAGAGUGAGGGAGGGGGAACCGGAAUGCUCGGUGUAGCGGUGAAAUGCGUAGAUAUCGAGAAGAACACUCGUGGCGAAGGCGGGUGCCUGGACAUUAACUGACGCUGAGGCACGAAGGCGAGGGGAGCGAAAGGGAUUAGAUACCCGGGUAGUC
rnacentral:rRNA from 1 species